rnacentral:rRNA from 1 species
UACGUAGGGUGCAAGCGUUAAUCGGAAUUACUGGGCGUAAAGCGUGCGCAGGCGGUUGUGCAAGACAGAUGUGAAAUCCCCGGGCUCAACCUGGGAACUGCAUUUGUGACUGCAUGACUAGAGUACGGUAGAGGGGGGUGGAAUUCCGCGUGUAGCAGUGAAAUGCGUAGAUAUGCGGAGGAACACCGAUGGCGAAGGCAAUCCCCUGGACCUGUACUGACGCUCAUGCACGAAAGCGUGGGGAGCAAACAGG